rnacentral:rRNA from 1 species
CUAGGGGCGCGUUUGAGGGAGCCUUCCAGCUCUUAGUCGGCGCAGCUAACGCAUUAAGUCCCACCCGCCUGGGGAGUACGGCCGCAAGGUUAAAACUCAAAUGAAUUGACGGGGCCCCGCCCAAGCGGGGGAGCAUGGGUUUUUUUUCGAAGCAACGCAAAAAACCUUACCACGCCUUGACAUCCAAUGAACUUUCUAAAGAUAGAUUGGUGCCUUCGGGAACAUUGAGACAGGUGCUGCAUGGCUGUCCUCCUCUCGUGUCGAGAUAUGGUGGUUUAACUCCCGAAAAGAGCGCAACCCUUGCCCUUUGCUACCAGCACGUUAUGGUGUCCACUCUAACGACACUGCCCGAGACAAACCGGAGAAAGGAGGGGAUGACUUGAGUCAUCAUGGUCCUUACGGCUUGGGCUACACUCGUGCUACAAUGGUCGCUACAUGGGGUUGCCAAGCCGCGAGGUGGAACUAAUCCCAUAAAACCGAUCGUAAUCCGGAUCGCACUCUGCAACUCGACUGCGUGAAUUCGGAAUCGCUAGUAAUCGCGAAUCAGAAUGCCUCGGUGAAUACGUUCCCGGUCCUUGUACACACCGCCCGUCACAC